CAUUGCUGCCCAGGGAUGUCCUGAAUUCUGACAGAGCUCAUUGCUGCCCAGGGAUGGCAGUGCUCCCUGCUGUGAGGGGCAAUCCUGAGCCUCUCUGUGCAGAGCUCUGAGCAGGCUCUGGCAGCAUUUCCCUGGCUCCAAACCCGGGGCACACGGUGCAGGGAGCUGGGCUGAGCUGGCAGUGGGCAGGGGAUGCUCGGGGCUGGCUCUGGCCACAGCACUCAGCACUGUCCCUGCUCCUGCUCACAUUCCAGGCUUUUUCUCUGCCCAGGAAGCACGGGAGCUUUGCUGUGCUCCAUAUGCAGUUCUUCAGCAAGAGGUCGUACAUGAGAGAGCUGCAUCUUUUGUGACAGUUGUAGCUCUAAAUAGGAAAUGAUUAAUAUUUCAUGGUUAUUUUUCUGUAAGACAUGAUUCUUGGGAGAAUGCAUCAGCCUGACUUUGCUGGAGAGAAUGAGCCUGCCUUGCUGAGCUUCAAAUGAAAAUGUAGUCAGGCACUGCAUGCUAAUAUUGCUGCUUUAGCUGGAAGCUCUCUGUGUGCCUGACUAAUGCCAGUGCCACAGUGCACUUUUGGAAACUUCUCUUUCCCUCAUCAGUCUUCCCAGUCAUCUGCUACUCUGCCUUUGCCUUCUGCACCUUCAGUCUAGUUUUAAAUAGCACAAGAGGUCAUGAAUGUCAGCUGACUGCAUCAACUGCAAAAUCUUUGACUCUAAUCUUUCCUUCUUUAUUCGCUUAUUUUUUCCUUUCUUGAGUCAUAAGCAAACCACUUCAAAAUAUUUCAGGGUUGCACCAGAGGACAGCAAACAAUUGGUCAAGGAAACAUUCUUGUCUCUUUUUGAUGUGGCUUCCUGUGAAGGUGGCUUUUUAAAUGCUUCUAAAUAACAAAUAUUGGCAAAUAGCUUACAGAACUUUUGUUCAUAUAACAUUAAUGGAAUGGUCACAGGGUUACUGUCAUUCAGCAGUGAGGUCACCAAGGCUUUGACUGCCCUGGACUGCUACAAGAAAGUCUGCAGGAAGAUUAUGGAAAGUUUGACAGCCAGGACACAGCUUUUUCCAGCUGGCCAAUGAAACCAAACAAUCCUCAGCAGAAUCCAAUUGCCCAAUCACUUCAGGAAAAAGAACUGAGAGAGCCCAGCCAGCAGGGGCCCCACAAAGCUUCUGUACCAACAGGCUUCAUUGCACUGGGGGAAACCAAGGAGAAUCCACCUCAGCAAACAGACUGGUCCUGGCUCCCUGAUCCAAAGUAAGCAUCAGCAACCUGGAAUGGCUGGGUUUGGUUUGUUUGUGUGUUUUUCAUACAAUAGCAUCCUGAAAUGGCUACGUACAAUUGAGAACCUCAUCAAUAUUACAUCUGCAACAGAAGGUGGAAACCUCCUGGUGUGCACAAGGAAUCCAUUUAGUCCUUCAGACAAGAUCUCCAGGCAGAACACCUGGCCUCUUGGUCCAUCUUUGAGGUGCUCUGGUGGAAACCCAGAGGCAGCCAAAGAGCUCCCUGUGACCCCAUAUCCACACAGGAGCUCCUGUGAGCCACACUGGGGUGGUGCUGACAGCAAUUCACUGAGGGCUUCGUGACCUGAUUUUAAACGGCUGCAAUGAAUUGCUUUUGCCUUGAAUUUUAAACCAUUUAUUCUGGGAGGGCAGAACACUUCUAUGAUGCAGCAUCACGCUGAAUGCAGGAUGAGCAGAUGACAGGAUACCUGGUGUGUUUUUGGGAGAUGGCCCCUGAGUCCUUGGGGAUGCAGGCUGCAUCUGUGAGCAAUUCCUGGGCUGUGCUUUUUGGGCUUUGCAGCCCUGCUGCUGUGGGGAUGGACCUGGGGUGAUGUUUUGCAGCACAGUGGCAGCACCAGAACUGCUUCAAAAUAAAGGCACCAGCUACAAUUCUGACAAAUGUACCCUCCCAAGUGGAGCCUCAGGGCUGGGAAGGGCACUCAGCUCAUCUCAGGCACUUACCAGUCAGGUAUGUAAGACAGAAAGUAUUUACCUCAGGGGAAAAUCACAGCAUUUUCACCUGAUUAUAUGGAUUUUACUUGCCAGUCAAGGCUCUUAUAGCUGAGAGAGGUGUGAGACUGCUAUCGAAAACAGCUUGGACAUCCAAACAAAUGUUCUUCCCAGCUUGCAGAAAUGUUAGUAGUUGUCCUGUCGAUUGGAGGCUUUUUGGAGAAACAAUGUCACCACUUGUAUUUUGACUUUUGCCAGAGAAGGGAGCAGCCUGCCCAUCAGUCUUUUCGUGCCUCAAGAGACCUCUCCAUGACUGAGUGAUAAGAGAAAGCAAAUUGCAGAUGUUAACAGAGCUCUUAAUAUUGCAGUGGAUGGAUGCCACGUUGUGCCAUGUACCCAGCUGGAUGGAGCAUGAUGCCUUUCCAUGUACACUUGUCCAUUGAGGAAUUGUGCAGCUCACAGAUCACUGUUUGAUUUCUCUGCCUCCUGCUGCCCACAAUCUGCCUCCUGCACACCUGUUGGAUGGCAUUACACCCUCAGCAGCCAGGAGUGGGUGUCAGUGGGUCAGUGGGCUGUGCUGGCUCUGUGCUCACCCCUGAGUACAGCCUGCAGCAGUGAGGGGUAAAUGAUUAACCUGCAUCUGUUCUGCUUUUUGCACUGACACUCUGGGCUUGCCUUCAUUUCACAGCCACUGAAUAGGGAAGCUGCCAUUGAAGCCAGCCAGCUCUCCUUGGGUCUACAUCCUGAAAAUCAGUGUCAGCACAGCUGAACCCUAAAACAACAAGAUUUCUGCUUUAAUGCUGUUGUGACAAAUGCUAACAGCCAUAACCACGUGGGAGGACAUGAAUUUGUGCUCUCUUUUUGAUGCAAUCACUUGUAAUUAUGUUGACUAAACUUUUCAUUUAGUAUAUAUUUUUUAAAAAGGCCACGUCAUGAAGUGGUUUUGCCUUGUCCACACAAGCUAACAAAUCAAAUUGUUUCCUCUUUUCUUGUAGAAGGAGGGAAUUCCAUAACACUGUCUCUGUCCUGUGCCUUGCACUGAGUCUCUUUUGCCUAUUUUUGUCACAUUCUUGACCAAAUACUGGGUUUGAUUUUGACCCAGAUCUGUAUAAAUUACUGUAGCAAUAGGGUUGGAAUUCAUGCACAAAUGUACUGAGCAAAGGACAAACCUAUGGUCACAAAAUGAGCUGUGAUGAAACCAGGGAAACAAAUGACCCUGACAAGGACAAUGCACAAGAAAAUGGUGAUAAUGUUUUAUGGCACAGAGCAGAGCUGGGCUUUUUGCCCUCCAAACUUCAGCACAUAAACUCUCACAUGCUCCAUUGCUAAAGCACCUGUUGCCCUGAUGGCUUGGGGAUGGCCGAACCUUUGCCCAUGUGCAGUAAUGCCAGCAUGCUGGCUCGUGCUUUGGGAAUGGCUGGACUCUCAAAAAAAAGAGGAAGUGUUAAUUUGGAGUGGCAAUUUGGCUCCUCUAACCCCCAUUCUGUGUUGUCAGACAAGGCAGCAGAUAACAAAAUGGGCACUUUUCUGCCAGAGACACACAGAUCCAAAAUCACUGAGCUUCUUCAUGUUUGUGAAAGAUUAAUGUAAAAAUUAAUGAGGGUUUAAUGUAAGUAAGGAAUGGAAAUGACUUAGCCCCAAGAUCAUGAAGUUUCUGCAGAGCAGAAUUGCUGAAUGACUUAGCAGAGGACUAAAUAAUGGCCCUAAUCUCAUGCACAGCUGUGAAAGCACUUCUCUCUGUUUAUUUAUAAUGAAAACUCACAUAAAUGUGUGUGCAGAUCACUGCUGUGCAAACUUUUUUCCCCUCCCAUGUAGAACUUUUGUGUUCUCUCAUGAGAAACCAUCACUGAAGGGCAGUCCUGGCUGAGCCAGGUACUCCAAGGUGGCCAAAACCCCAGGCUGGGCACUCACACCAGCUGAGGAUCCUGGCAGGAGCAGCUGGCAUGCACUGGGAGGGCACGGCCAAACCAGUUUUGCUGGCUGCUGCUGCUCUGGAGGGUUUCAGUUGUGUAAUCUCCAAUGCUUUGGGGUCAGCCUGUGCAGAUUCUCCAGCUGCCACGACAGGGCUACUUUGCCUCCCUUCCCCAUGAGCCAGCAGUGGGGAGCAGAGCAGCUCCCCAGACAAAGCCCCUGGCUACAAGCAGAGUAUUGUGCCUCAGCUUUGGCAGAGUGGGCUGGGGCUGCAGUAAAGGCUGCCUCUUCCAUGUGUGAAUGGUGCUGAGAGCCGCUGGGUCGUGCAGCAUGCCCUGGAUGACGAAUUGUCAGAGCAGGCUGAGAGCAGCAGCCCCAGCCUGAGCACAGCCAGUGCUGCAGCCGAGCCCUCGGGGUGUCAAGGCAAAGGGGAGCCUGCCCCAUGCUAAUUAAAACUCUUCUCUCAACUUCUCCUUGGCAAAGUGCAAAGAAAUCCUCUUUUCAUGCCCGGCGACUAAAAAUAAAUCCUAUUUUGGGUUUCAGAAGCAGCCGCAUGACUAAAUGAGCCCUUCAGUUUCAUUCAUGUUUGCUGUCUAUUAAUCUGUUCUCCUCACCCUCAGCAGGGUAUGACUCAGGGCUUCACAUUGUCUUCCUCCCUGAACUAUCUGUGUUUUGACUUUAAAUUCUGCUGUCUGACGCAAAGCAGUGCUGAAAUCAUGACAGUUUGAUCCAGCCAGCUCCCAGGAGACUCCUGAUCUUUACUGGCUGGUAAAUGUAGCACUCAGAACAGCUAUGCAGAGCAGAUAUCGAUAUUUUUACACCAAAUGUUGGUAAGCAGAUGUCACAGGCUCGUGAAAAGCCUUGAAACUCCAUGGGAGAAAAGAUGUGAGUAUGUGUGUGGGAGGCCUGGAGACAAAAAUAAUUCUGUGCUUCUAUGAGAAGGCAUAUAUUCCUUAAUCCGUUGGUGUUUGCUAUUCCUGUGCAGGGGACUCAAAGUGGAGGCUGCUAUACUGGAACAAGUGGAGCAGCAAACUCUUUCCCUGUUGGUUCAUCUGAUGCUUUUGCUGCUUUUCCAGCCCAGGCUCUGCCCUCUGGCCCUGGCUGAGCUGAUGGAUCCCAUGAGCGGGGGAUCUCUCCUAUGGGGUGGAGAGAUUAUCCUGAAAUUCAGGCAUCCCAUAGCAAGUGUGGGACACUGGGCAGGUAAUAGC